AGUAUAUUCCAUCGUUUUGUUUUGUGAUCGGUAGAUGUUCAUGUAAGAAGAAAGGGAAGAAAAAUUUUUAAUUUUACGAUUGAAAACUGAUUCGUUUUCAAAAAAGAAAACAUGGCAUUAGCAUCGGCAAAAGCUUUAUUGGAUGAGCUAAUGGGUCGUAACAGAGAUUUGGCACCGACAGAGAAGAAAGGAUCCAAUUGGGAAGAUCCUGAGGUAUGCAAGCAUUUUUUAGUGAAAUUUUGCCCUAACGAACUCUUUAUAAAUACAAAAGCAGAUUUAGGACCUUGUAGUAAAAUACACGAUGAAAAUAUGAAGAAAGA